UUUCAAUUGCAAAGAAAAACUAGUAGCAAUUGUCAAUUUGUGCAGUCUACUACAAAAUUUCAAUCCCUCAUCCUCUCCCUUGAAGUCUUAUACCCAGCACCAGCAGCCCCCAGUCCUUGCCCUGCUUCCACCCAUCGACGAUAACUAACCUCUCCGCCUAUGGCCUCCUGCUUUGCCACUGCUUCAUUGUUGAGAGUUAGGCAUCAGUGAGUCUGCUCUCUCCCUCUCUCCCUUUUUUUUUUUUUUUUUGUUGUUCUUUUAAAGUUUAGUUCAUUUUUAUUAUUAUCAUUUGUGAUUUAUAUUUUAUGAAUUAUUUUUACGAGUUAUGGAUGUGAUUGUGAGCCUAUAGUGUUAAUUGUACCGAUUUUGAUUUUUGUGAAUUUGAGAAUUGGAGAUUUUGUGAAUUUGAUAAUAUUGGGGAUUUUGCAUUGAAUGAUGAUGUUUAUGAUUUAUGAAAGUUGGG
rnacentral:lncRNA from 1 species